UAUGGGUUGUAAACUGCUUUUAUAAGGGAAUAAAGUGAGAGUCGUGACUCUUUUUGCAUGUACCUUAUGAAUAAGGACCGGCUAAUUCCGUGCCAGCAGCCGCGGUAAUACGGAAGGUCCGGGCGUUAUCCGGAUUUAUUGGGUUUAAAGGGAGCGUAGGCCGGAGAUUAAGCGUGUUGUGAAAUGUAGUUGCUCAACAUCUGCACUGCAGCGCGAACUGGUUUCCUUGAGUACGCACAAAGUGGGCGGAAUUCGUGGUGUAGCGGUGAAAUGCUUAGGUAUCACGAAGAACUCCGAUUGCGAAGGCAGCUCACUGGAGCGCAACUGACGCUGAAGCUCGAAAGUGCGGGUAUCGAACAGGAUUAGAUACCCUGGUAGUCCGCACGGUAAACGAUGGAUGCCCGCUGUUGGUUCACCUGAAUCAGCGGCCAAGCGAAAGCAUUAAGCAUCCCACCUGGGGAGUACGCCGGCAACGGUGCAACUCAAAUGAAUUGACGGA
rnacentral:rRNA from 1 species